rnacentral:rRNA from 1 species
UAAUCAUAUGCUUGUUCCAAAGAUUAAGCCAUGCAUGUCUAAGUCCAAGCUGUGUGAGUUGGGCGAAAGCUCUCUCACGCGGCGAAACCGCAGACGGCUCAUUAAAUCAGUUGUGGUCCUAAUGUGACAGCGUUAUCUUACUCGGAUAACUGUGGUAAUUCUAGAGCUAAUACAUGCAACUCAUGGUCCUUACACAGAGAGAUUGUUGAGACGCGUUGGCUUCGGCCUUCCGCAUAUCUCUUUCUUUCAUAUAUGUGUAACGGCCGCUUUUAUUAGACCAAACCGCUGAGGGAGGAUCCCUUUUGAGAGUGUGUGUUAAAGCUAUCUCUCAUUAGCCUCCCGUUGACUCGUGUUCUGGUGACUCUGGAUAACAAACCCUAUUGACAAGCGCACGUAUCCAUUUAUUUGGGACGGCGCUUCCACUUUCGAGUGUCUGCCUUAUCAGCUUUGUAUCGCUAGUUAUGCGCUACCGAUGGCUUUGACGGGUAACGGGGAAUCUGAGUUCGAUUCCGGAGAGGCAGCCUGAGAAACGGCUACCACGUCUAAGGACGGCAGCAGGCACGCAAAUUACCCAAUCCCAGCUACUUGGGGAGGUAGUGAAGGGAUAUAACGAUGCGGGCGCUCCUUCUGGGGCCCCGCAAUCGGAAUGAGCAUUUUGUCUUUCUAAACACCCUGUUGAGAACCCACUGAAGGGCAAGUCUGGUGCCAGCAGCCGCGGGUAAUUCCAGCUUCAGCAGCAUCUAUUAAAGUUGCUGCGGUUAAAAGGCUCGCAGUUGAAUGUCAGUAUCGAGUGCAGUGAUGGUGGACGUUGGGGUGCGUGUAUGCUUGUUGAGAGGGUUAGAGACCAGAGAGUAAGAGCUCUAGCGUGCGUUAUGCGCGCGCUUUGAGUCCCCCUGCUCGCUAUAUCUUUCUCUUAACACAUGCGCGCGUGUCUAAGCCCCCGUCCGUAAACAGCCUCCUCAUUCGUUUACAAAAUGGAAUAUGUCUAAAACGUGAUCGGUCUAUCUAUAAAGUGUGCGCGCUUGAUUGUGUCUCACUCUCUUAACAUGCUCUCUGACGGUGCGGUAUUAACGCGCCGGGGUUUUGUUUCGAGCGGUGUGUUAUACUCUCUCUCGCGUGUAUGCGUGGCUUGUGAAGUGAACUUUGUAUGUUCCGAGGUUACCUUGAGUAAAGUGGAGUGCUUAAAGCAGUCGUAAGGAUCUGUGCAGGGUGCGUUCGCGCGCGCUCUGUACGGUCUGCGAUGAAUGUGUCGCCUAUAUAUGGUGUGUCACAGACAGUCUUGGUUUUGCAUGGUAUGUCGAAAGACGCUGUAAAUCGCUCGUCCUAAUAAUGUGAUGGGUUUACCUGUCGGUAACGAGUCUAGUGCGGGCUUGCACUUAAUCCUUUGUAUCUGGCGCUCGCGCGUCAGAGAUAUUGGUGACUUGUGUGACGUGUAUAAGACCGACAGGGACGGAAUGCUUAAAAGGUUCGGUCGAAGGCAAAGGUAUUGCGAGGCGAGAGGUGAAAUUCUAUGACCCCCGCAAGACCACCCGAAGCGAAAGCGUCUGCCAAGGACGUUUUCAUUAAUCAUGAACGAAAGUUAGAGGAUCGAAGGCGAUCAGAUACCGCCCUAGUUCUAACCCUAAACGAUACCAACCAUCAAUCCGUGCGUAGUACCCUUUCUGACGGGCUCGACGGGCAGCUCCCCCCUCACGGGAAACCAGAGUCUCUGGGUUCCGGGGGGAGUCUGGUUGCAAAGCUGAAACUUAAAGGAAUUGACGGAAAGGCACCACCAGGCGUGGGACUGCGGCUUAAUUUGACUCAACACGGGCCAUCUCACCAGGCCAGCACUCUUGAACGAUUGACAGAUUGAAAGUUCUUUCCUGAUUACGUGGAUGGUGGUGCAUGGCCGUUCUUAGUUGGUGGAGUGAUCUGUCUGGUUAAUUCCGAUAACGAACGAGACUCUCGCCUGCUAAAUAGUCGGUUGGAUCUUGUGUCUGGAGAGUUGUGUGUCUUACACUCGUGUGACUAUCUUAUAUAACGUGAAUGAGGGGGAGAAGGAGAGAAAGCUCGCGGGCGCUUGUGCGGACCGUGUGUGUGGUUGGGUGGGGCCGGUGUGUUAUUUGCUGCUUUCGUUGCCAGUUGGCGCGGGGGUUUGUGGGUUUCAUACUACCUCGCACUCCUCAUGUGCGCCAAGCUCGUUCUCGUGGGUGUAUACGAUUCAAUCUCUCUCUGUGCGUUUUGAUAUGUUAUAUCUUGUUGGCAUUACACUCCAAGUCCACCGCUUACUCGGAUUACGCGAUGUUUUAACGGCAAAGCUAUAAAUGUGUGAAACUCUUCUUAGAGGGAUUCAGGGUUCUGAAACCUUAAGAGACUGAGAGCAAUAACAGGUCUGUGAUGCCCUUAGAUGUUCUGGGCCGCACGCGCGCUACAAUGCCGGGUUCAGCAGGUAUCUACCCUUCUCCGAGAGGAGUGGGUAAUCCUCUGAAAGCCCUUCAAACAAUUUUCGGGAGGGAGUGGAGCCUCCUAACAGUGCUUCUCUCUCUUUCUUGGCAUGCUUGGGCCUGGGUCUUGCAAUUCUUUCCCACAAACGAGGAAUGCCUAGUAGCGGUGGAUCACUGAGUUUGUCGUGACUCAGUCCCUGCCCUUUGUACACACCGCCCGUCGCUACUACCGAUUGGGUGUACCAGUGAGAUCUUUGGACUGGCGAGCCUCGUGAGAGAGCGUAUGGGUUCUUUAUUGAGCUCUGUGCGCGCGAUUGCGAGUGUGUACGACGGGAAGAGGRRRRAACUGGUGCACUUAGAGGAAGUAAAAGUCGUAACAAGGUUUCCGUAGUGGAACCUGCGGAAGG